UCGAGAAUAUUGGUCAAUGGGCGAAAGCCUGAACCAGCGACGCCGCGUGCUUGAAGAAACUCUUCGGAGUGUAAAGAGCUUUUUUCCGGGAACAAGUUUUUAUUGAGGGUACCGGAAGAAUAAGGGGGUGCUAAUUCUGUGCCAGCAGAAGCGGUAAUACAGAACCCCCAAGCGUUAUCCGGAUUUAUUGGGCGUAAAGCGUUCGUAGGCGACUAGAAAAGUCUUUGGUCAAAGCCCCAGAGCUUAACUUUGGGAAUGCCAGAGAUACUUUUUAGAUAGAGGGCGUUAGAAGCUGACGGAACUCACGGUAGGGUGGAAUCCGUUGAUAUCGUGAGGAACACCAAAAGCGAAGGCAGUCAGCUAGGGCGAUCCUGACGCUGAGGAACGAAGCGUGGGUAGCAAAAA
rnacentral:rRNA from 1 species